rnacentral:rRNA from 1 species
AGCGAACGCUGGCGGCAGGCUUAACACAUGCAAGUCGAGCGGGCGUAGCAAUACGUCAGCGGCAGACGGGUGAGUAACGCGUGGGAACAUACCUUUUGGUUCGGAACAACACAGGGAAACUUGUGCUAAUACCGGAUAAGCCCUUACGGGGAAAGAUUUAUCGCCGAAAGAUUGGCCCGCGUCUGAUUAGCUAGUUGGUGAGGUAAUGGCUCACCAAGGCGACGAUCAGUAGCGGUCUGAGAGGAUGAUCAGCCACAUUGGGACUGAGACACGGCCCAAACUCCUACGGGAGGCAGCAGUGGGGAAUAUUGGACAAUGGGCGCAAGCCUGAUCCAGCCAUGCCGCGUGAGUGAUGAAGGCCCUAGGGUUGUAAAGCUCUUUUGUGCGGGAAGAUAAUGACGGUACGCAAGAAUAAGCCCCGGCUAACUUCGUGCCAGCCGCCGCGGUAAG